GGCUGCAUGGUGUAGUGGCUAGCAUACUGGUCUUCGAUUAAAAGUUGAACCAGCGGUCGACAGUUCGACCCUGUCUGCAGUCG